CCUCCUUUCUAACGGGAACCCGCAGAGGUCUCGGUUCUUACAAUCGAGAGCACCCUCUGCCAAAAAAUGGCUCACUGUCUGGUUGUCUGAGUUCACCAGGGGCUCAGUGUUUUUUUAUAGGGAUCGGCGCAUUGACAAAAUCGCUGUUUCUUUCCUAAAUUACGAGUUUGGUCCUAGCGACCAAAGUGCACCCGUUUUAGGGUGUUGUGGGAUCUUUGAAAAUUCGGAAAACAUGGGCAAAACUACAUCAAGUUUUGAGCAGAAUUUCUUGUGCAACAAGAAAUUCUAGGUCAAGCUACUAAGGGUGUACGGUGGAUGCA
rnacentral:misc_RNA from 1 species